GCAACAACUAUGACAGAAGACACAACUUAAAUACACUCAGAGAACACAGGGGGAUUACAUACCGGUGGGGACACAGCUGGGAGUAAUUAACAUGACGAGACUCGAGAGGCAAACUGAAAACACUCACAUAAGACACAGACCUUCACAAUAAAACAGGAACUUACACAUGAAAGGACACAAACUAAGAAACGCGGACUAGAUACAGGAACACACGGGCAGAACAGAGUAAACACAACCAGAGGAAGAACAGAACCAAAACCGCGAAGAGAAAACACAAAACGCUGGGUCAAAGGACCCAGGAUCAUGACAGAAACCUUUGGAAUGCAAGCAUGCUGAUCCACACAGGUAUGCACACAGGUGUACACACGGGUAUUCACAGACGCGGACUACACCUUUCUUGGCUGCUGCCUCAAAGCACAUUGUGCGCUGUCUAUCUUGCUUGCUGCACAAUAUCGUUUAUUAUUUAGUAUCUACUGCUAGCUAGUUUAUUGUGAUGGUGCUGUUUUUUUUAUUAUGUUGCACUUUGUUGUUUGCUUUCUUUUUGGGUUUUUUUCUCCAUACAGGUGACCCAGGUGUGUGUUUGUUUUUUUCUUUUUUUCUUUCUUCCCCCCCUUCUUACCGUCUAUUCUCCCCUUUGGUUUUCUUUCUCUCCCUCUCUUUCUUUCAUUCUUUCUCCCUGUCCUAUCCCCCAGUCAUGUCUGUCCCAUUUGUAGCAACUGAAAAUAAAAUAAAUUCAUAAUUAUAAUAAAGGUCAAUCAAAUGGACCAAUAUGGCAAGGCCAUGAUGAUCCACUUGGUAAAAUAAAUCCGCUUGGCAUCUUUCUUGGCCUUAAGACAACAAUUCUGAUGGCCAAAGAUCCAAACGGGACACAAAAAAAAAAAAUGCUUCUGGUGUGAUUUGAAGCUUUUGUAUUUCAGGGUGAGCGGUGCUUACCACUUCAAAGAUAUUACGUCCAAAUUCCUUUGGAAAAAUAAACCCCCACGUAUAAGC
ensembl:lncRNA